rnacentral:rRNA from 1 species
AUAACGGUCCUAAGGUAGCGAAAUUCCUUGUCGGGUAAGUUCCGACCCGCACGAAAGGCGUAACGAUCUGGGCACUGUCUCGACAAUAGACUCGGUGAAAUUGUAGUACCGGUAAAGAUGCCGGUUACCCGCAGCAGGACGGAAAGACCCCGUGGAGCUUUACUGUAGCUUGAUAUUGGAUUUCGGCAUUGCAUGUACAGGAUAGGUGGGAGACGUUGAGCUAUGCACGCCAGUGUGUAGGGAGUCGCCGUUGGGAUACCACUCUUGUAAUGUUGAGGUUCUAACCUUGUACCGUGAUCCGGUAUGGGGACAGUGUCAGGUGGGCAGUUUGACUGGGGCGGUCGCCUCCUAAAGAGUAACGGAGGCGCCCAAAGGUUCCCUCAGUGCGGUUGGAAAUCGUGCGAAGAGUGCAAAGGCAGAAGGGAGCUUGACUGCGAGACCUACAAGUCGAGCAGGGACGAAAGUCGGGCUUAGUGAUCCGGUGGUACCGAGUGGAAGGGCCAUCGCUCAACGGAUAAAAGCUACCCCGGGGAUAACAGGCUAAUACCCCCCAAGAGUCCACAUCGACGGGGGUGUUUGGCACCUCGAUGUCGGCUCGUCUCAUCCCGGGGCUGAAGCAGGUCCCAAGGGUUGGGCUGUUCGCCCAUUAAAGAGGUACGCGAGCUGGGUUCAGAACGUCGUGAGACAGUUCGGUCCCUAUCCGCUGUGGGCGAGGGAUAUUUGAGUGGAGCUGCCCUUAGUACGAGAGGACCGGGGUGGACAUACCGCUGGUGCACCGGUUGCAGUGCCAACUGCAUAGCCGGGUAGCUAAGUAUGGAAGGGAUAAGCGCUGAAAGCAUCUAAGUGCGAAGCCCCCCACAAGACAAGAUAUCCUGACCGAAAGGUGAGAGAUCUCUGGAAGACGAACAGUUAGAUAGGUCGGAGGUGGAAGUGCAGUAAUGUAUGGAGCUGACCGAUACUAAUCGAUCGAAAACUUAACCAA